UCCUUGAUAGCUCAGUUGGUAAAGAAUCUGCCUGCAAUGCAGUAGACCCUGGUUCGAUACCUGGGUUGGGAA
rnacentral:tRNA from 1 species